rnacentral:rRNA from 1 species
AGAGUUUGAUCCUGGCUCAGGAUGAACGCUGGCAGCGUGGAUAAGGCAUGCAAGUCGAAUGCUACCCUUCGGGGAAAGCAUGGCAAACGGGCUAGUAACACGUGAGAAUUUGCCUCAAAGUUCGGAAUAACCCGGAGAAAUCCGGGAUAAUACCGAAUGUGCUAUUCGUAGUAAAGGCUUCGGCCGCUUUGAGAGAAGCUCGCGUACUAUCAGCUUGUUGGUGAGGUAAAAGCUCACCAAGGCUAUGACGGUUAGGGGGUGUGAGAGCAUGACCCCCAGCAUUAGCACUGAGACACUGGCCAAACACCUACGGGUGGCUGCAGUCGAGAAUCUUCCACAAUGGGGGAAACCCUGAUGGAGCGACGCUGCGUGCGGGAUGAAGGCCUUCGGGUUGUAAACCGCUUUUGUAAGGGACGAAUAUUUAUAUGACGGUACCUUUUCGAAUAAGAGGUUGCUAACUCUGUGCCAGCAGCAGCGGUAAUACAGAGACCUCAAGCGUUAUCCGGAUUUACUGGGCGUAAAGCGUCUGUAGGGGGUUUAAUAAGUUCCAAGUUAAAUCUUAAGGCUUAACUUUAAGUUCGCUUGGAAAACUAUUAAACUGGAGCGUAGCAGAGGUGCAUGGAACUUGUGGUGUAGGAGUGAAAUCCGUUGAUAUCACAAGGAACACCAAAGGCGAAGGCAUUGCACUGGGCUACUGCUGACCCUGAGAGACGAAAGCGUGGGGAGCAAAACGGAUUAGAUACCCGUGUAGUCCACGCCGUAAACGAUGAACACUAGAUGUCCGGGGAUUCGACCCCUUGGGUGUCGCAGCUAACGCGUUAAGUGUUCCGCCUGGGAAGUACGGCCGCAAGGCUAAAACUCAAAGGAAUAGACGGGGACCCGCACAAGCGGUGGAGCGUCUGGUUCAAUUCGAUAGUAAGCGAGGAACCUCACCAAGACUUGACAUCCUACGACAACCCAAGAAAUUGGGCUUCCUUCGGGCGUAGUGACAGGUGCUGCAUGGUCGUCGUCAGUUCGUGCCGUGAGGUGUUCCGUUAAGUCGGGAAACGAACGAAACCCUCGUUGUAUGUUAAAUUUUUCAUGCGAGACUGCCCAGGUUAACUGGGAGGAAGGUGGGGAUGACGUCAGAUCAGCAUGGUCCUUAUGUCUUGGGCGACACAGGCGCUACAAUGGCUGGUACAAAGGGUUGCCAAACCGCGAGGUGGAGCUAAUCCCAUAAAACCAGUCUAAGUUCGAAUUGAAGGCUGAAACUCGCCUUCAUGAAGUCGGAAUCGCUAGUAAUCGUGAAUCAGCCACGUCACGGUGAAUAUGUUCCCGGAUCUUGUACUCACCGCCCGUCACACCAAGAGAGUUGGUAGCUCCUGAAGCGUCACGUAUGUGGCUCCACGGAGAGAUCAGCGAUAGGGGUGAAGUCGUAACAAGGUAACCAAGGGCGAA